CGUCUACGUACAUAGACAGUUAGCCCACAACACUGUCCGCCAGAGAACUACGAACGAAAAGUUUAAAACUCAAAGGAUUUGGCGGUACCCCAUUCCGACCUAGAGGAGCCUGUCCUGUAAUCGAUACCCCACGUUAUACCCAACCACCCCUUGUAAUUCAGCCUAUAUACCGCCAUCUUCAGCAAACA
rnacentral:rRNA from 1 species